GGAGAGGUGUCCGAGUGGUUGAAGGUGCCGAUCUCGAAAAUCGGUAGGGCUCAAAAGGCCCUCGUGGGUUCGAAUCCCACCCUCUCCGCCA
rnacentral:tRNA from 1 species